AUUGAACGCUGGCGGCAGGCCUAACACAUGCAAGUCGAACGAGUGGCGGACGGGUGAGUAAUGUCUGGGAAACUGCCCGAUGGAGGGGGAUAACUACUGGAAACGGUAGCUACUACCGCAUACCAUCAGAUGUUCUCAGAUGGGAUUGGCUAGUUGGUGGGGUAACGGCUCACCAAGGUGACGAUCCCUAGCUGGUCUGAGAGGAUGACCAGCCACACUGGAACUAGGACACGGUGCAGACUCGUACGGGAGGCAGCAGUGGGGAAUAUUGCACAGUGGGCGGAAGCCUGAUGCAGCCAUGCGGCGUGUAUGAGAAAGGCCUUCGGGUUGUAGAGUACUUUCAGCGGGGAGGCGUUACCCGCAGAAGAAGCACCGGCUAACUCCGUGCCAGCAGCCGCGGUAAUUC
rnacentral:rRNA from 1 species